rnacentral:rRNA from 1 species
GACGAACGCUGGCGGCGUGCCUAAUACAUGCAAGUCGAACGCAGUGGGGACGGGUGAGUAACACGUGGGUAACCUCCCAUCAGAGGGGAUAACACUUGGAAACAGGUGCUAAACCGAUACUGAUGGAAGGACCCGCGGUGCAUUAGCUAGUUGGUGAGGUAACGUCGCACCAAGGACCCGAUGCAUAGCCGAACUGAGAGGGUGAUGGGCCACACUGGGACUUAGACACGGCCCAGACUCCUACGUUAGGCAGCAGUAGGGAAUCUUCCGCAAUGGACGAAAGUCUGACCGAGGAACGCCGCGUGAGUGAAGAAGGUUUUCGGAUCGUAAAACUCUGUUGUUAGAGAAGCGGUAUCUAACCAGAAAGCCACGGCUAACUACGUGCCAGCAGCCGCGGUAAUUC